AUACGGAGGGUGCGAGCGUUAAUCGGAAUUACUGGGCGUAAAGCGUACGUAGGCGGUUGGUUAAGUUAGAUGUGAAAGCCCCGGGCUUAACCUGGGAACUGCAUUUAAAACUGGCGAACUAGAGUUGAGUAGAGGGGAGUGGAAUUUCAGGUGUAGCGGUGAAAUGCGUAGAGAUCUGAAGGAACACCAGUGGCGAAGGCGACUCCCUGGACUCGAACUGACGCUGAGGUACGAAAGCGUGGGGAGCAAACAGGAUUAGAUACCCCAGUAGUCC
rnacentral:rRNA from 1 species